rnacentral:pre_miRNA from 1 species
GGGGGGAGGCCGGAUCCUGGGCUUUGUCCCGGUGCCCAGUGCUCCGCAGCCUGCGCUGUUGGAUUCGCGCUCCCGCCCCGCAGCCCCCU